rnacentral:rRNA from 1 species
AUGGGGUGGUUCCUGUCGCCUCACAUCACCGAGCUCAUGAAGGUUGCACGGGACUGCGCAACCACCAACUACAUGCUCUAUUGGGGCGGCAAGAAGAAGCUGGAAAAGCUGGUGGAGGAUCUGGAGGACAUCAAGCGCCUCCUCGAUCCAGCCAGCACGGCCUUCGUCAAGAACCAAGCCAAGCUCGAGCAACUAUGGAGGCUCAAAGAUGACAUUCACGACAUCGAGGAGAUUUUGGACUCGUUUCAAGUGGAGAUCCGUAACGCCGAGGCAACCAGUAGUAGUAACCUAAGCAAGAAGAAGAAGAUCUACGAUAACAAAGUUAUGUUAAUGGGAAAACUGGUGAAAGUGCUCAAGAGUGUAGGCGAGACUCGGAAAAGGGCACGAGAUCUCCAACGCGGUGCACAACAGGGUGCACCUUGUUCCAUCUUGGCAAGAAGAGAAACGGGCCCGAACUCGGUGAGGGACCAAAAGAGCUUCUUUGGGUACCAAAAGGAGUAUGCCCAGCUGAUCUCCUUGUUGCAGAAGCAGCCCGAUGGCAACAAAGUGGACAUCAAGGUGAAGCUGGUAAUCGCCAUCGUCGGCCAUGCCGGGAUGGGGAAGACCGAGCUUGCUCGCCAGGCGUUUCGGACAGCCGAAGAUAAAUUUGAUCUUGGCAUAUGGGUGCACGCCUAUGGCAAGAACACCGAAUUCGAGCUCCUGAAAGAGAUCUGGAAGUCUGUUGCCGGUCACAAACCGGUCGGCGAGAUGAACGUCGCAUGCCUCCAGAGGGAACUCAGGGAGCUCUUGGCGUCGAAGAGGUGCCUUCUGGUGCUGGAUGACGUAUGGAACCAUGAGUUGGCGGCCGACGAGGCGGAGAGGAAGCAUGCAUGGCAGGCGCUGGACCUGUUUACACGCUGCGCCCAAGAUGGAAGUAGAAUCGUGAUGACGACUCGAGCCAAGAUAUGUUCGGCAACGUUCAAAGCAGAUGCAAGCAUCAUUUUGGAUGGGAUCAAAGACAAGGAGAUGACAUUUCUGCUCAACCACACUGCCAAUGGUACUACCGAGAAUAGUGACCAUGGGGUUCAGGAACGGAUAGAGAAGCAAGUCUCGAAGCUCAAGGGGUCCCCAUUGGCAGCCGUAGAGAUCGGCGAGGACUUGGAGCAAAAGACCACAAGCAAAGAGAAGUGCGACAUCUUUGACGACAUUCAAAGUCAUCUGGGCACUGUAUACCAGCAACAUUUGUUCACGUAUCAGCAUCUGCAGCCGCACCUGCAGCGUUGCUUCCAGUUCUGCAGCAUAUUCCCAUACAACUGGAGGUUCGAGCCUGACAAGUUGUGCAAGAUGUGGAUGGCCCUUGGUUUUGUUGAGGAAAUGACCCUUAGCACUGGAGUGAGCAGCAUGGAAGAUGUCACCAGAGGAUACUUUGACGAUCUGGUGAAUCGUUCCUUGUUCCAGUUAGAACAGAGCAAGGGUGGAGGAGACAAACAGGCUCGUUACGUGAUCCAUGAGCAGAUCCAUUGGAUGAUACGGCUGGCCUCUAAGAAGAACUGCAUCAGCAUCUCCGGCGACAGUACCAGCGUAGCCAAGACAAGCAUCCCUGAAACGGUUCGCCACUUGUCAGUUGCUAGCAACUGCCUUGAUGAGCUCAGGAAGAAAUAUCCUAGUUCGGUGCUCAACAAGAUGCGGACUCUGCUAGUCCUAAAGAAUGAUGAUGAUUCCAAGUCGUCGACUGUUGACAAAGGUAUACUCAAACUGUUCAAGGGCGUGAGAGUACUGGACCUGACAGCAGCAACAGGCCUGACACAUCUGCCGGGAACAAUCCACAAUCUGAAACAUGUCCGGUACCUUGGCCUUCCGAGCACCAUGAGGAAUCUCUGUGAUGAGGUCACCGAGCUAUUCUUUCUCCAGACAUUCAGCCUUGAUGGGAAGAAGCAGAAUACCUGCCGCUUGCAGAAGUUUCCAAAACAUAUGAACAAGCUCGUCAACAUGCGACACCUCGACAUCGACAUGGAGUGCAUCGCCAACAUCAACGGCAUCGGGAGGAUGGCUAAACUGCAAGGACCCAUCGAGUUUAAGGCCAUCAGGUCGUCGGAGAAAGAAGGGCACGCCGUGUCGGAGCUUGCGGGGAUGGACUCUCUGCGAGGGACGCUGAGCAUAAAGGGCCUCGACGACGUUCCCAGCAAGGAGGAAGCCAUGAAGGCUCGACUCGAGCAGAAAAGUGCCGUCAAGGUACUCAAGCUUGAAUGGGGGCCUCCGGAUCCACGGCGAGUUAACGGUGGACCUGCCGACUCCGACGCCGUUGCCGUCCUUGAAGGUCUCCAGCCUCACCGCGACCUCCACGAGCUGCGCAUCACGAGGUACCCUGGGGCGACGUCGCCGAGCUGGCUGGGCGUGAAGAUGGAGAAGCUGACGAGCCUGUACCUCAGGAACUGCAGGAAGCUCAACGCCCUGCCUGUCCUCGGUGAGCUCCCCUGCCUGGAGCUUCUGGAUGUUAAGGAGCUGUCCUGCGUCGAAACGAUCGACAGCGACUUCUGCGGUGCCGGCACGUUCCUGAAGCUGAAGAAGGUCGUGCUUGACGACAUGCCGGGACUGCUGUCGUGGGGGGAUAUGCCAAAACUGGCGUUCCCUGAGCUCACGGAGGUGAGCAUCGUAGACUGCCCCCGGCUGUCCUCCUUGUCGGGCUUAGAGCUCUGCGCAGGUCCCCUCAGCCUGCGGGUCAAGGGGUGCCCGCACAUCACACCGGAGACCCUGAAAGCAAUUACCGGUAUCUCCAACUACAAAUUCCACUAG